UGCACCAUGUCGCUCCUUUCUCUGGUUACAACGCUGGCGCUUUUCCUUGCUGGAUAUCUGGCCGAGGAUUUGAAGCAGCCUCAGAUUUCGAUCACGAAGCCCGUGACGACGACGGUGAAGAUACCGUGCGAGGCAGCGGCACUCGAUGACAUCCACUGGUACCAGCAACACGCCGACCAGGCUCCCAGAAGGAUCUUGCGCUUUAGCAAGGACCGAACGGAGCGGGAUCCGGGAGUGCCCGCCAAGUUUUCAGCCGAGAGCAGUGACUCUUUCUGCUUCCUUGUGAUUGACAACAUCGAGCUGACGGAUGCCGCCAGCUAUUACUGUGCCCGUUGGAUCGUCACAGUGAGAAACGGCGGCAGGAGGACGAUACAAAAACCCCUGAACCUCUCCUGCUGCUCGACAGCUCUGCCGGGGAUGGUGAUUCCGGGUCAUUCACCGGAGGUGUCGGCAGCGUUCCCAGUAAAUAAAUUGGAUUGUUAUUCAUUUCAGGGAUUACUGUGCUCAAGAGGGAAAGGGAACAUGGUGCAGAAUGUGCAGGUGCGGCAGGUCAUUAGAACAACUAACGGAAGCUAA